rnacentral:rRNA from 1 species
UGUGAUAGUCUACCUGCGUGAGCGGAACGAAAACAACAACACCUAAAAUGUGGAAUAUAGCAUAUAGUCGACAAGAGAAAUCUACGAAAAACAAACAAAACUUUCAACAACGGAUCUCUUGGUUCUCGCAUCGAUGAAGAGCGCAGCGAAAUGCGAUACCUAGUGUGAAUUGCAGCCAUCGUGAAUCAUCGAGUUCUUGAACGCACAUUGCGCCCCUCGGCAUUCCGGGGGGCAUGCCUGUUUGAGCGUCGUUUCCAUCUUGCGCGUGCGCAGAGUUGGGGGAGCGGAGCGGACGACGUGUAAAGAGCGUCGGAGCUGCGACUCGCCUGAAAGGGAGCGAAGCUGGCCGAGCGAACUAGACUUUUUUUCAGGGACGCUUGGCGGCCGAGAGCGAGUGUUGCGAGACAACAAAAAGCUCGACCUCAAAUCAGGUAGGAAUACCCGCUGAACUUAAGCAUAUCAAUAAGCGGAGGAA